rnacentral:rRNA from 1 species
GGUUAAGCGACUAAGCGUACACGGUGGAUGCCCUGGCAGUCAGAGGCGAUGAAGGACGUGCUAAUCUGCGAAAAGCGUCGGUAAGGUGAUAUGAACCGUUAUAACCGGCGAUGUCCGAAUGGGGAAACCCAGUGCAAUUCGUUGCACUAUCGUUAACUGAAUACAUAGGUUAACGAGGCGAACCGGGGGAACUGAAACAUCUAAGUACCCCGAGGAAAAGAAAUCAACCGAGAUUCCCCCAGUAGCGGCGAGCGAACGGGGAGCAGCCCAGAGUCUGAAUCAGCUUGUGUGUUAGUGGAACGGUCUGGAAAGUCCGACGGUACAGGGUGAUAGUCCCGUACACCAAAAUGCACAGGUUGUGAACUCGAAGAGUAGGGCGGGACACGUGGUAUCCUGUCUGAAUAUGGGGGGACCAUCCUCCAAGGCUAAAUACUCCUGACUGACCGAUAGUGAACCAGUACCGUGAGGGAAAGGCGAAAAGAACCCCGGCGAGGGGAGUGAAAAAGAACCUGAAACCGUGUACGUACAAGCAGUGGGAGCACCUUCGGGUGUGACUGCGUACCUUUUGUAUAAUGGGUCAGCGACUUAUAUUCUGUAGCAAGGUUAACCGUAUAGGGGAGCCGCAGGGAAACCGAGUCUUAACUGGGCGUUAAGUUGCAGGGUAUAGACCCGAAACCCGGUGAUCUAGCCAUGGGCAGGUUGAAGGUUGGGUAACACUAACUGGAGGACCGAACCGACUAAUGUUGAAAAAUUAGCGGAUGACUUGUGGCUGGGGGUGAAAGGCCAAUCAAACCGGGAGAUAGCUGGUUCUCCCCGAAAGCUAUUUAGGUAGCGCCUCGUGAAUUCAUCUUCGGGGGUAGAGCACUGUUUCGGCUAGGGGGUCAUCCCGACUUACCAACCCGAUGCAAACUACGAAUACCGAAGAAUGUUAUCACGGGAGACACACGGCGGGUGCUAACGUCCGUCGUGAAGAGGGAAACAACCCAGACCGCCAGCUAAGGUCCCAAAGUCAUGGUUAAGUGGGAAACGAUGUGGGAAGGCACAGACAGCCAGGAUGUUGGCUUAGAAGCAGCCAUCAUUUAAAGAAAGCGUAAUAGCUCACUGGUCGAGUCGGCCUGCGCGGAAGAUGUAACGGGGCUAAACCAUGCACCGAAGCUGCGGCAGCGACACUAUGUGUUGUUGGGUAGGGGAGCGUUCUGUAAGCCUGCGAAGGUGUGCUGUGAGGCAUGCUGGAGGUAUCAGAAGUGCGAAUGCUGACAUAAGUAACGAUAAAGCGGGUGAAAAGCCCGCUCGCCGGAAGACCAAGGGUUCCUGUCCAACGUUAAUCGGGGCAGGGUGAGUCGACCCCUAAGGCGAGGCCGAAAGGCGUAGUCGAUGGGAAACAGGUUAAUAUUCCUGUACUUGGUGUUACUGCGAAGGGGGGACGGAGAAGGCUAUGUUAGCCGGGCGACGGUUGUCCCGGUUUAAGCAUGUAGGCUGGUUAUCCAGGCAAAUCCGGAUAAUCAAGGCUGAGGUGUGAUGACGAGGCACUACGGUGCUGAAGUAACAAAUGCCCUGCUUCCAGGAAAAGCCUCUAAGCAUCAGGUAACAUCAAAUCGUACCCCAAACCGACACAGGUGGUCAGGUAGAGAAUACCAAGGCGCUUGAGAGAACUCGGGUGAAGGAACUAGGCAAAAUGGUGCCGUAACUUCGGGAGAAGGCACGCUGGUGUGUAGGUGAAGCCCCUGCGGGUGGAGCUGAGACCAGUCGAAGAUACCAGCUGGCUGCAACUGUUUAUUAAAAACACAGCACUGUGCAAACACGAAAGUGGACGUAUACGGUGUGACGCCUGCCCGGUGCCGGAAGGUUAAUUGAUGGGGUUAUCCGUAAGGAGAAGCUCUUGAUCGAAGCCCCGGUAAACGGCGGCCGUAACUAUAACGGUCCUAAGGUAGCGAAAUUCCUUGUCGGGUAAGUUCCGACCUGCACGAAUGGCGUAAUGAUGGCCAGGCUGUCUCCACCCGAGACUCAGUGAAAUUGAACUCGCUGUGAAGAUGCAGUGUACCCGCGGCAAGACGGAAAGACCCCGUGAACCUUUACUAUAGCUUGACACUGAACAUUGAGCCUUGAUGUGUAGGAUAGGUGGGAGGCUUUGAAGCGUGGACGCCAGUCUGCGUGGAGCCAACCUUGAAAUACCACCCUUUAAUGUUUGAUGUUCUAACGUUGGCCCCUUAUCGGGGUUGCGGACAGUGUCUGGUGGGUAGUUUGACUGGGGCGGUCUCCUCCCAAAGCGUAACGGAGGAGCACGAAGGUUAGCUAAUCCUGGUCGGACAUCAGGAGGUUAGUGCAAUGGCAUAAGCUAGCUUGACUGCGAGCGUGACGGCGCGAGCAGGUGCGAAAGCAGGUCAUAGUGAUCCGGUGGUUCUGAAUGGAAGGGCCAUCGCUCAACGGAUAAAAGGUACUCCGGGGAUAACAGGCUGAUACCGCCCAAGAGUUCAUAUCGACGGCGGUGUUUGGCACCUCGAUGUCGGCUCAUCACAUCCUGGGGCUGAAGUAGGUCCCAAGGGUAUGGCUGUUCGCCAUUUAAAGUGGUACGCGAGCUGGGUUUAGAACGUCGUGAGACAGUUCGGUCCCUAUCUGCCGUGGGCGCUGGAGAAUUGAGGGGGGCUGCUCCUAGUACGAGAGGACCGGAGUGGACGCAUCACUGGUGUUCGGGUUGUCAUGCCAAUGGCACUGCCCGGUAGCUAAAUGCGGAAGAGAUAAGUGCUGAAAGCAUCUAAGCACGAAACUUGCCCCGAGAUGAGUUCUCCCUGAGACUUUAAGUCUCCUGAAGGAACGUUGAAGACGACGACGUUGAUAGGCCGGGUGUGUAAGCGCAGCGAUGCGUUGAGCUAACCGGUACUAAUGAACCGUGAGGCUUAACCUU